AAGAACAUUUCUUUGUCAGCUUGGUGUUUGAGGAAGAUGUACGUUUCACUGACUUCAGAGAUUGUAGGUCUCCUGGUCAAUGCAAGAGAGAGAAGAGAAGGUUAGAACUGGACAAGUGGAUAGGUAUUUUCUGAAUAGCCAAUAUUAAUAGGGUCUGAAACUGGAAGUCAUGGGGGAGACUCUGAAAAGCAAAGAAAUAAGACCCGUGUUUUCCCUCUUUGAUUACACUGUCAUAACUAAUCACUCUAUAUGCUCAUCCUACCACAGAUGACCCAAGGAAGACUGCAUCUGAUUAAAUAAAAUCAUCAUCUUCUCCAGAAGUUGAAAAGGAUCUUAAAAAUCUGGACCCUUUGCACAGGACUGGAUCUAUGACAAGAACAAAGGGAUCUGAACAGAAUUUGGAACCAUAUAUCUUGUUUCUCAAGGACCAGGAUUUCUCUUUUCCCAAACUCUGGCCAACUCAGCUCAUCCUGCAGGAACCUGGAGUCAGGACUGUCUACACUGUGACCAGGACCACCGCUCACACCCUGCUUCAGUUGAGUAGUUCACAGUGUCUUCUGACAGCCAGAGAAAUUGUGAUGAUGCUGAGUGAUGUGGAGAUGCAAUAAUUAUCCUAGUAUUUCACAAAUCUCCAUAGCCAACCUGUGUCACCCUUAAGAAACCAAAGAGUAAAAAGAUAUGCGCAAUGAUAGAACAUGUACAAUCUAUAUCAAAUUGCUUACUGUCUCAGGGAGGGGAGAGAGAAAAUUUGGAACUUAAAAAAUGAAUGUUAAAAAUUACUUUUACAUGCAACAGGGGAAAAUAAAAAGAAAAAACAUGCAAAAAAUAUAUGUCAAAGUUGAAAGCAAGUGUCCAAGUUGAAAGGGACAUCAGAUCACAGAUCUAGAGUGGGAAGAAAUCCUGAAGGAGAGCAAGACUAACCCUUUAAUUUUACACAAGAGGUCCAGAGAGCUUAAACAAUCUGUCCUGAUCACACAGCACUAAGUGAUGAGGGCAGGAGGCAAACCUAGCUUUUCCUGACUCCAGGUUCAGUACACUAUACAUCAGGCUACCCUGUCUCUGAGGCAGGCCAGAGGAUUUCAUCAUGGAGCCCAAUCCCCUUGAUUUAUAGCCAAGAAAGCUUAGCCUCAAAACUAGCUCAAGGUCUCAUGGCUCCUGAAGUUGCAGAACCACA